GCAGGUAGAGCUCAGUGGUGGAGCACAUGCUUAGCGUGCACAAGGUCCUGGGUUCAAUCCCCAGUGCCUCCA
rnacentral:tRNA from 1 species